AGUGAACGCUGGCGGUAGGCCUAACACAUGCAAGUCGAACGGCAGCACAGUAAGAGCUUGCUCUUACGGGUGGCGAGUGGCGGACGGGUGAGGAAUACAUUGGAAUCUACUUUUUCGUGGGGGAUAACGUAGGGAAACUUACGCUAAUACCGCAUACGACCUACGGGUGAAAGCAGGGGAUCUUCGGACCUUGCGCGAUUGAAUGAGCCGAUGUCGGAUUAGCUAGUUGGCGGGGGAAAGGCUCACCAAGGCGACGAUCCGUAGCUGGUCUGAGAGGAUGAUCAGCCACACUGGAACUGAGACACGGUCCAGACUCCUACGGGAGGCAGCAGUGGGGAAUAUUGGACAAUGGGCGCAAGCCUGAUCCAGCCAUACCGCGUGGGUGAAGAAGGCCUUCGGGUUGUAAAGCCCUUUUGUUGGGAAAGAAAAGCAGCAGGUUAAUACCCCGCUGUUCUGACGGUACCCAAAGAAUAAGCACCGGCUAACUUCGUG
rnacentral:rRNA from 1 species